AACGAACGCUGGCGGCAGGCCUAACACAUGCAAGUCGAGCGAACCGCAAGGUUAGCGGCGGACGGGUUAGUAACGCGUGGGAACGUGCCCAAAGGUACGGAAUAGCCUCGGGAAACUAAGAGUAAUACCGUAUGUGCCCGAAAGGGGAAAGAUUUAUCGCCUUUGGAUCGGCCCGCGUUGGAUUAGGUAGUUGGUGGGGUAACGGCCUACCAAGCCGACGAUCCAUAGCUGGUUUGAGAGGAUGAUCAGCAACACUGGGACUGAGACACGGCCCAGACUCCUACGGGAGGCAGCAGUGGGGAAUCUUAGACAAUGGGGGAAACCCUGAUCUAGCCAUGCCGCGUGAGCGAUGAAGGCCUUAGGGUUGUAAAGCUCUUUCACCGGGGAAGAUAAUGACGGUACCCGGAGAAGAAGCCCCGGCUAACUCCGUGCCAGCCGCCGCCGUUAAUAC
rnacentral:rRNA from 1 species